rnacentral:rRNA from 1 species
CCUACGGGGGGCAGCAGUGGGGAAUAUUGCACAAUGGGCGCAAGCCUGAUGCAGCCAUGCCGCGUGUGUGAAGAAGGCCUUCGGGUUGUAAAGCACUUUCAGCGGGGAGGAAGGCGUUAAGGUUAAUAACCUUGGCGAUUGACGUUACCCGCAGAAGAAGCACCGGCUAACUCCGUGCCAGCAGCCGCGGUAAUACGGAGGGUGCAAGCGUUAAUCGGAAUUACUGGGCGUAAAGCGCACGCAGGCGGUCUGUCAAGUCGGAUGUGAAAUCCCCGGGCUCAACCUGGGAACUGCAUUCGAAACUGGCAGGCUAGAGUCUUGUAGAGGGGGGUAGAAUUCCAGGGGUAGCGGUGAAAUGCGUAGAGAUCUGGAGGAAUACCGGUGGCGAAGGCGGCCCCCUGGACAAAGACUGACGCUCAGGUGCGAAAGCGUGGGGAGCAAACAGGAUUAGAACCCGGGUAGGC